UAAACCAUGCACCGAAGCUGCGGCAGCGACGCUUAUGCGUUGUUGGGUAGGGGAGCGUUCUGUAAGCCUGUGAAGGUGUGCUGUGAGGCAUGCUGGAGGUAUCAGAAGUGCGAAUGCUGACAUAAGUAACGAUAAAGCGGGUGAAAAGCCCGCUCGCCGGAAGACCAAGGGUUCCUGUCCAACGUUAAUCGGGGCAGGGUGAGUCGACCCCUAAGGCGAGGCCGAAAGGCGUAGUCGAUGGGAAACAGGUUAAUAUUCCUGUACUUGGUGUUACUGCGAAGGGGGGACGGAGAAGGCUAUGUUGGCCGGGCGACGGUUGUCCCGGUUUAAGCGUGUAGGCUGGUUUUCCAGGCAAAUCCGGAAAAUCAAGGCUGAGGCGUGAUGACGAGGCACUACGGUGCUGAAGCAACAAAUGCCCUGCUUCCAGGAAAAGCCUCUAAGCAUCAGGUAACAUCAAAUCGUACCCCAAACCGACACAGGUGGUCAGGUAGAGAAUACCAAGGCGCUUGAGAGAACUCGGGUGAAGGAACUAGGCAAAAUGGUGCCGUAACUUCGGGAGAAGGCACGCUGAUAUGUAGGUGAGGUCCCUCGCGGAUGGAGCUGAAAUCAGUCGAAGAUACCAGCUGGCUGCA
rnacentral:rRNA from 1 species